rnacentral:rRNA from 1 species
GACGAACGCUGGCGGCGUGCUUAACACAUGCAAGUCGAACGAAGUGGCGCACGGGUGAGUAACGCGUAAUCAACCUGCCCUUCAGAGGGGGACAACAGUUGGAAACGACUGCUAAUACCGCAUACUGAAGGAGGGGAUUCCGUCUGAGUAGCUAGUUGGAGGGGUAACGGCCCACCAAGGCGAUUACCAGUAGUCGGUCUGGGAUGAGUAAUGGCCACAUUAGGACUGAGACAAGGCCCAGACUACGACGGGAGGCAGCGGUGGGGACUCUUCCGCAAUGGACGAAAGUCUGACGGAGCAACGCCGCUAGAGUGAUGACGGCCUUCGGGUUGUAAAGCUCUGUUAAUCGGGACGCGGUACCGGAAUAGAAAGCCACGGCUAACUACGUGCCAGCAGCCGCGGUAAUAC